CCGAAUUCAAUAUCUCUUAGAAUCAAAAUUGAUUUCUCUCAUAGCGGAAAUCCUUCCUGUUCCUGUUUUGAAGUAGCCGACAUCGUUCUUGUUCCUACUUUGAAAUUGGUCUCGCUCUUAUUUCUGAUUCAGCCUAAAUCAUUUUUCCUUCUUUCAGUUAUCCAAUAUCUCUUUGUCGAUGUACAAAUAAUAAUGAAUAUGUCAACAAAUUUUACUAAACAAGAGACCAAUAGUUGACAGGAUCUACAAUUUACAACAUUCUUCUCAACAAGCGUAUGACUCAUUAUCUCAAGGCAGGGAUGCAUUGCAACAAUCUCUUUCCGAAAUGCUAGCCACACAAGAGACUUUCAUUCAUCAGAAAAGUUCCAUAGUGUGGCACUUCACUUGGGGAUUUGGAAGAGGGGGGCGUAGGGGCAUCCUGAUUUUGACAUACACAGAUUUCAAAUAUUUAGACUCCAUUUGACGAGAACAUCACAGGCGGAUUUGAAUUUGUAUUAAGACUCAUAUAUUUGGGUAUGAAGAGAUAUAUAGUUCAACUAAAUAGUCGUUGAUGAAAGAGCUCGAUGAGAUGGAAGAGAUUAACACAAAUCUCUCAAUUACCGUAGAAAAGGUGACUCUAGAGCACCUCAAUAAAAAUGAGGUAUCAAUGAAGAUGAUGAUGAGGACGACGAUGUAAGUGACGAAUUUCAAGAGGAGGGUUUACGUGAUGAGGACGACAUAGUUCACAAAUUUCAAGAGGUCGACUCGACAUAGAUGAUGACCUUCAAAAGGACAUCAUAGGUGAUGAAGAGGAUGAUGGAGAUGACGAUGAGUUGGAUGUUGUUAUUUUAGGUUUCUACUUAAGCAUUAAGCUUAAAGAAACUAUGUAAUUAGUCAUUUUGCUAUACUUAGACUUCUAAGUAUUAAAUUUGUAGUAUCGUGUAAUGUUAGACAUGUUGUGUUUAUUGUGUGUA